UACGGCCACAUCAUGUUGAAACACCAGUUCCCAUACGAUCACUGAAGUUAAGCAACAUCAAGCCUGGUCAGUACCUAGAUGGAUGACUGCUUUGGAAUACCAGGUGCUGUAAG